CGGGAGGAUCGAGUCAUAUGAUUGGAGGAUGAGCGCUUGGAUGAUACGUGGCGGUGGAUGGAGUGAUGGAAACACGUGAUUGGCGGUGGGAUUCUUCUUGCAUGUGUCCCAACAGCUGUUGAGCUAGUCUUUAGUUAUAAACUUACAAAGUAAUACAGUACAUUCUACAAUUCGACAUGGACUGGAUGUAUAUUUGCGUUCGUGUUUAGUUUCACCUCCACGCUCAUAGCCGGCGCGUGUGUUCCAUUUCCACCAGAUCACUGGAGUUAGGCGGUAGAUAACGACGGGAACGAACGAAGCUGAGAAGCCAACAUUACAAAUUUACUAAUCACGUUAUAACUUCUACAGUUUCACGGUUCAAAAAUAUUUCUUCAAUUUUACACUGUCUUGCGGCCAGUAACCUUAAAACAAAACAAAAAAAAAACGAUGAGGAAAAUAGAAAAAUAAGAAUGAAAAUUAGUAUUUAAAUCAACUCGAAAAUUUGACGAUGAACUCAAACUGCGAAGACAACUAAAAAACUGACAAAUUAUAAGUGUUUACCUAAACUAGAUUACGGAUCUCUAUCUUGUGCUCUUCUCAUAUGUAUUUGUAAGAGCUCAUUGCUAAGUCGUUUUGAGAUCUUUGCCUCCUAGCAGUUUUUUUUGUCUUGUUCACCUAGCAGCUUAGCUUCUACAAAUUCAGACUCGCUCGUUAUAAUUCUCUAACAAGAUUUCAUGUAAAAGUUGCUCCAAAAAGUAUAGUAAUAAAUGAAGAAACAAGAAAUCUUGAAAGGUAAAUGCUGUCAACUAGUGACUAUCAUGUGGUUGGCAUAUCAACACAAAUUUUAAAGUGUAUAAUAAUCUUUUAUACG
rnacentral:lncRNA from 1 species